GGGCUUGUGGUUUAGUGGUAUAAUACUCCCUUAGCAGGCCUGGAGCAAUUCAGAGACAGAUAUGAAUAUAUCUGGGAGUGGUCCGGGGUUCGAUUCCCCGCGAGUCCA